rnacentral:rRNA from 1 species
UACGGGGGGAGCAAGCGUUGUUCGGAUUUACUGGGCGUAAAGGGCGCGUAGGCGGCGCAACAAGUCACUUGUGAAAUCUCCGGGCUUAACCCGGAGCGGCCAAGUGAUACUGUCGUGCUAGAGUGCGGAAGGGGCUACUGGAAUUCUCGGUGUAGCGGUGAAAUGCGUAGAUAUCGAGAGGAACACCUGCGGCGAAGGCGGGUAGCUGGGACGACACUGACGCUGAGGCGCGAAAGCCAGGGGAGCGAACGGG